rnacentral:tRNA from 1 species
ACCUAGCUAGCUCAGGCCAUAGAGCAUGUGAUUCUUGAUCUCGGAGUCGUGGGUUCAAGCCCCACUUUGGGUG